UACGUAGGGUGCGAGCGUUAAUCGGAAUUACUGGGCGUAAAGCGUGCGCAGGCGGUCUUUUAAGUCAGAUGUGAAAUCCCCGGGCUUAACCUGGGAACUGCGUUUGAAACUGGAAGGCUAGAGUGUGGCAGAGGGGGGUGGAAUUCCACGUGUAGCAGUGAAAUGCGUAGAGAUGUGGAGGAACACCGAUGGCGAAGGCAGCCCCCUGGGCUAACACUGACGCUCAUGCACGAAAGCGUGGGGAGCGAACAGG
rnacentral:rRNA from 1 species